GACCGGAAGCGGGAGCUCGGGCCUCGGCAAGGGUCUGAGAGAGGGGGGAGGCCAGCCGAGAGGCCCUUACAAUUUAGAGUCCUGGGCCUUGUAGCGCGAUAACAAUAACGAUAAGGUUUCCUGGAAGCUUAAUUUGUGUUCGACGCUGCUAAGCGCUUUACGUAUUUUGGCUUUCCUCCUCACCACAGUUCUGUGAGCAACAUGCACCUGGGAACUAAAGAACAUACAGACACCCAUGUUAGUAGUACCUACUACCCAGGAUGCUGAGGAUACCAGUUGGGCUCUCUCUAGGACAGGAAGUUGGAGAUGCAGAGGUGGAAGAGACACUGAAGCGACUUCAGAGCCAGAAGGGAGUACAGGGAAUCAUCGUGGUGAACACAGAAGGCAUUCCCAUCAAGAGCACCAUGGACAAUCCCACCACCACACAGUAUGCCAACCUCAUGCACAACUUCAUCUUGAAGGCCCGGAGCACCGUGCGUGAAAUCGACCCCCAGAAUGACCUCACCUUUCUUCGAAUUCGCUCCAAGAAAAAUGAAAUUAUGGUUGCACCAGGUGCCAUGGAAAGGACUGAAGAGUUGAAGGUUCACAGAAAACAGAGGUGAUAAUCCUACCUCCCUGUCAGUACUGUGAAGAUUAGAAAAGAGAAUACAUUGCAAGGCCCUGCUGCCAGAUAAAGACUAUUUCCUGAUUGUGAUUCAGAAUCCAACUGAAUAAGCCACUCUCUUGGCUCCGUGCAUCAUUCCUUAAUUUAAUAGCCCCCAAGAAUAAUAAUGUUAAGCAUGUCAACCAACUGGCAGGUGGAAAUCACCUUUGAGCCUACUUAGACCAGUCCAGUGACCAAAGUCAUCAAAGUCGUCCCUCUGCUGGCCAGUCACCCUUGAGUUCUUGGGUGGGCCUUCUUUCCUCAUCUCCAGAUUUUGGAGCAAGAGCUUUGAGUAGUCCACACUCUGCUUCCUUCUGACCUUCAGCUCACUUUGUCACCCUUGGAAAAGGCUGUUUUUCUUUAACUAAAAAUAACUGAAAUGCUUA